CCUGCCUCCAGAGUCUUGCCGGUGUGGCUGCUGUGUCACAUGUGUGUCAGUAGGUGGCAGAGAGGAGAGAGGUCACACUCGGUGUUCUGACCUGUGAACACCUGAAUGAUUAGAUUCGUAGCCUAACAUU